UCGGGAAUAUUGCGCAAUGGAGGAAACUCUGACGCAGUGACGCCGCGUAUGGGAAGAAGGUUUUCGGAUUGUAAACCAUUGUCGUUAGGGAAGAAGAAGUGACAGUACCUAAGGAGGAAGCUCCGGCUAACUAUGUGCCAGCAGCCGCGGUAAUACAUAGGGAGCAAGCGUUAUCCGGAUUUAUUGGGUGUAAAGGGUGCGUAGACGGGAAUACAAGUUGGUUGUGAAAGCCCUCGGCUUAACUGAGGAACUGCAACCAAAACUAUAUUUCUUGAGUACUGGAGAGGAAAGUGGAAUUCCUAGUGUAGCGGUGAAAUGCGUAGAUAUUAGGAGGAACACCAGUGGCGAAGGCGACUUUCUGGACAGAAACUGACGUUGAGGCACGAAAGUGUGGGGAGCAAACAGG
rnacentral:rRNA from 1 species